GUUUCCGUGGUGUAGUGGUAGCACGUUCGUCUCACACCUAGUUUGGUGUUUCUUCACGAAUCACGAAUGGUCCCGGGAUCGUAGCCCGGCGGGAACA